CGAACGCUGGCGGCAGGCCUAACACAUGCAAGUCGAGCGCCCGCAAGGGAGCGGCGGACGGGUGAGUAACGCGUGGGAACGUACCCUUGCUACGGAAUAGCCUCGGGAAACUGGGAGUAAUACCGUAUGUGCCCUUCGGGGGAAAGAUUUAUCGGCAAAGGAUCGGCCCGCGUUGGAUUAGGUAGUUGGUGGGGUAAUGGCCUACCAAGCCGACGAUCCAUAGCUGGUUUGAGAGGAUGAUCAGCCACACUGGGACUGAGACACGGCCCAGACUCCUACGGGAGGCAGCAGUGGGGAAUCUUAGACAAUGGGCGCAAGCCUGAUCUAGCCAUGCCGCGUGAUCGAUGAAGGCCUUAGGGUUGUAAAGAUCUUUCGUGGGGGAAGAUAAUGACUUACCCCAA
rnacentral:rRNA from 1 species